UACGAAGGGUGCAAGCGUUACUCGGAAUCACUGGGCGUAAAGCGUGCGUAGGCGGUUCGUUAAGUCUGUUGUGAAAGCCCUGGGCUCAACCUGGGAACUGCAGUGGAUACUGGCGAGCUAGAGUACGGUAGAGGAAGGUGGAAUUCCCGGUGUAGCGGUGAAAUGCGUAGAGAUCGGGAGGAACACCAGUGGCGAAGGCGGCCUUCUGGACCAGUACUGACGCUGAGGCACGAAAGCGUGGGGAGCAAACAGG
rnacentral:rRNA from 1 species